AAAAUAUAAGGAAAUACAGGAGAGAUCAAAAGAGAUCACCGGAAUUCCCAUUUUCUCAAGAAAACCAAUGUUAAUAUUUUGGUGUUUUUUCUUCCCAUCUUUUUCUUUCUGUUUUGUAACAUACUUGGGAUCAUAACGUAUAUUCAGUUUGUGUCCUGCUUUCUUUCAUUUAGCACAGAAGUACUUUCUUAAUAAAAAGAUCUAGCUAGUAUCCAUCAGAUGUAUUUAUCAUAAUUUAUCCCCUCCUCGUAGAUAUCUAGACUUUGACCAGUGUUGAUUUUGUUCAUCUGCACAGACUCCCAAAAAAGCUCCUAGCUGAAAACCUGGCUCAAAACAGAAACCACCUGUAAGGACUUGCUCGUGAAAAAUCUACGCAGCAGUUCCCUCCAGGAAAACCAGGCGGACGAGCAGCCUGUGCCUGGAAGUAGGCGGGGCCCCUCCUGGGUCUGCGUCUGCAGACACAGACCAGGGAGCGAUUUCUCAGCGCCUGUGGUAGCUGCUGCGGUGGGAAGCACACGGCAGACCCUGAGCAGGCUGGCCAGUGAGCCAGCCUCUUUCUGACGGGACCCACAGCUCGAAUGUUGGCUGGAUUUGCCUGGGCCAAAAUAAGCGGAAGAGUGGCAGAGUGCUUGGGGAUCACUUCCAAUCACACCAUUCAGAAGGAGAAGCAGUGCACCUCUAGGACAGAUGCCUUCAAACGAAGAGGCUGGCUGCUCCCCGAGAAGGAGGGCCAGGCGGGGUGGUACCAAGCAGUGCCGCUAGAGAAACAUCAUUCAGCAGCCUCCUGGAACACAUGGGAGCCCGGUGGCUGAAAUGUCCUUUCCUCCCAGAGUUAGAAUACAUAAUGUUAGUUAACUCCACAAAUUAGUGCAGUGGCCAUGACAGUCGAGGCCCCCAGUCCCCAGUCCCCUAGGCUUAUACAACAGACGCCGGUUGUCCCAUCCUUUGCUCAAUCCUAUUUAAGACGAGGAUUGUGCACUCCUGGCUGGAGUCCAGGAGGGUGGGAGCCACUGGGUGGUAGUGGAGCGGCCCUGUCUCCAGGCCAGACUCUCCUGCUCCUGGCCCUCUUGACGCUCACAGAGUGGCCUCUGUGGCUGCCGAGCCCUGUGCUGCAGCAUAAAUCCUCAGCUUUUGUCUGUGUUUAAUCCCACCCUGAGAAGUGAUAUCCAAGUGCAACUGUUUCCAGCCAGGAGCGCAGCUCCCAGGCCCUGCUGCUGCCUACCCAAGACAAACAGAUGUAACAAGGAAUUUCUAGCACAGUGCUGGUCCUCUGUGUUAAUAAAUGGCCGACCAGGAGUACUGGGUAAUGCAAGCUGGGAACUCCCCAUCACACACAGACACUGGAGCCGGCUCUGACACAUGGGGCAGAGACUCGGCCUUUGGUUCCCUGAGGACUGAAUUUACACACCCUCUUAGUUGCCACCCAACUGUUUCUAGCUAAAGCUAUUUUUGAAGUAUCCUGAAGGAAAGCACACAAGACUCUAGCCUCUCCCUGCCUGUCCUGGGUUUCCAAGGUCAGGAUAUGGUGGAAAGACCUGUUCAAGGGACAUGGCAUGGAGGGAGCUGUCACAGUUACAGAGAAGGGAGCCCCCUUUUUGGUCAAAGGCAAGUAUUGUGAAAGGUUACUUUUCUAGAAAGGCACAAACAUCAACCCAAGCCCCUAAUAAAGCGGGGCCCAGUAAACUGUGCAGAUAACUGAAGCACUAAAGAGAGAAAAAGACAUCUAGUCAUUUGUAAUACAGCUUUGGUGCAUGAUAUAUAACAUUUUGUACAUUAAAAGGUUUUUGGCGAUUUCUCUUUAAAGCAGACCACAAAGUAGACAAGAGAUUGGUUAUUAUGGAACACUUGUGUGUUAAACGCGAUUUCCAUCUCUGCGGCACCCAAUUCCAGAAACGUUAACUGGACAAUCCUCAGGGGAUGGUGGAUCAUCUGCAUCUGUUUCCAGACGUGCAUGAAGGAUCUCCUUCGUACACCUACACAACCCAUGCGAUUUCCCUUGAACCAUGACUAACCAGCUGUCUGGACGACAUCCAGGGCGAGUCACAAGAGGCUUGGGAAUCCUGGGAGGCUGUUUUCAGAUUAUGGAAAUGCAAAUCAAAUCCUCCCUGAUACGACUUCACACCCACUAGGACGGCUAUAGAAUCAAAAAGAUGGACAAUAACAAGUGCUGGUGAGGACAUGGAGCAACUGGAACCCUUGCACACUAACAGGUAUACAUCCAGCCUGUGUGCAAAAACUUGUACAUGAAUGUUUAAGGCUGCAUUAUUCCUAAUAGCCAAAAUGUGGAAACAACUCAAAUGUCCAUCAACUGAUGAAUGGACAGACAAAAUGGAAUGUGUCCGUACAAUGGUGAAGGGGCUUGGCAGACGAGCAGCCCCAUUUAGCCCUAAAAAGGCGUGAAGGACUGAUGCGUGCCGCAACACAGAUGUACUUUUCAUAAAAUGUCCAGAUAAAAUAAAAAUAAAUAAAUAAUACAAAGUCAAUAAAUACAUAAAAUAUCCAGAUAAAAUGCUUGACACUAUAUAAUUAAUAAUAAGAAAUAAACUAAAAAAAAGUACACCAUAA
rnacentral:lncRNA from 10 species